UACAGAGGUCUCAACCGUUGUUCGGAUUCAUUGGGCGUAAAGGGUGCGUAGGCGGUCGGGUAAGUCGGAUGUGAAAUCUCAGGGCUCAACCCUGAAACUGCAUUCGAUACUGCCUGGCUAGGGUACUGGAGAGGAGACUGGAAUUUACGGUGUAGCAGUGAAAUGCGUAGAUAUCGUAAGGAAGACCAGUGGCGAAGGCGAGUCUCUGGACAGUUACCGACGCUGAGACACGAAGGUCAGGGGAGCAAACGGG
rnacentral:rRNA from 1 species